rnacentral:rRNA from 1 species
CGAAUGCUGACAUAAGUAACGAUAAAGCGGGUGAAAAGCCCGCUCGCCGGAAGACCAAGGGUUCCUGUCCAACGUUAAUCGGGGCAGGGUGAGUCGACCCCUAAGGCGAGGCCGAAAGGCGUAGUCGAUGGGAAACAGGUUAAUAUUCCUGUACUUGGUGUUACUGCGAAGGGGGGACGGAGAAGGCUAUGUUGGCCGGGCGACGGUUGUCCCGGUUUAAGCGUGUAGGCUGGUUUUCCAGGCAAAUCCGGAAAAUCAAGGCUGAGGCGUGAUGACGAGGCACUACGGUGCUGAAGCAACAAAUGCCCUGCUUCCAGGAAAAGCCUCUAAGCAUCAGGUAACAUCAAAUCGUACCCCAAACCGACACAGGUGGUCAGGUAGAGAAUACCAAGGCGCUUGAGAGAACUCGGGUGAAGGAACUAGGCAAAAUGGUGCCGUAACUUCGGGAGAAGGCACGCUGAUAUGUAGGUGAAGCGACUUGCUCGUGGAGCUGAAAUCAGUCGAAGAUACCAGCUGGCUGCAACUGUUUAUUAAAAACACAGCACUGUGCAAACACGAAAGUGGACGUAUACGGUGUGACGCCUGCCCGGUGCCGGAAGGUUAAUUGAUGGGGUUAGCGCAAGCGAAGCUCUUGAUCGAAGCCCCGGUAAACGGCGGCCGUAACUAUAACGGUCCUAAGGUAGCGAAAUUCCUUGUCGGGUAAGUUCCGACCUGCACGAAUGGCGUAAUGAUGGCCAGGCUGUCUCCACCCGAGACUCAGUGAAAUUGAACUCGCUGUGAAGAUGCAGUGUACCCGCGGCAAGACGGAAAGACCCCGUGAACCUUUACUAUAGCUUGACACUGAACAUUGAGCCUUGAUGUGUAGGAUAGGUGGGAGGCUUUGAAGUGUGGACGCCAGUCUGCAUGGAGCCGACCUUGAAAUACCACCCUUUAAUGUUUGAUGUUCUAACGUUGACCCGUAAUCCGGGUUGCGGACAGUGUCUGGUGGGUAGUUUGACUGGGGCGGUCUCCUCCUAAAGAGUAACGGAGGAGCACGAAGGUUGGCUAAUCCUGGUCGGACAUCAGGAGGUUAGUGCAAUGGCAUAAGCCAGCUUGACUGCGAGCGUGACGGCGCGAGCAGGUGCGAAAGCAGGUCAUAGUGAUCCGGUGGUUCUGAAUGGAAGGGCCAUCGCUCAACGGAUAAAAGGUACUCCGGGGAUAACAGGCUGAUACCGCCCAAGAGUUCAUAUCGACGGCGGUGUUUGGCACCUCGAUGUCGGCUCAUCACAUCCUGGGGCUGAAGUAGGUCCCAAGGGUAUGGCUGUUCGCCAUUUAAAGUGGUACGCGAGCUGGGUUUAGAACGUCGUGAGACAGUUCGGUCCCUA